rnacentral:sRNA from 1 species
GCCGGGUGUGGUGGUGCACAUGUGUAAUCCCAGCAGCUGAGGAGGCUGAGGCAGGAGGAUUGCAAGUUUGAGGCCAGUCUCAGCAACUUAGGGAGGCCCUAAGCAACUUAGCAAGAUCAUGUCUCAA